AGUGAACGCUGGCGGUAGGCCUACACCUGCAAGUCGCACGGCAGCACAGUAAGAGCUUGCUCUUACGGGUGGCGAGUGGCGGACGGGUGAGGAAUACAUCGGAAUCUACUUUUUCGUGGGGGAUAACGUAGGGAAACUUACGCUAAUACCGCAUACGACCUACGGGUGAAAGCAGGGGAUCUUCGGACCUUGCGCGAUUGAAUGAGCCGAUGUCGGAUUAGCUAGUUGGCGGGGUAAAGGCCCACCAAGGCGACGAUCCGUAGCUGGUCUGAGAGGAUGAUCAGCCACACUGGAACUGAGACACGGUCCAGACUCCUACGGGAGGCAGCAGUGGGGAAUAUUGGACAAUGGGCGCAAGCCUGAUCCAGCCAUACCGCGUGGGUGAAGAAGGCCUUCGGGUUGUAAAGCCCUUUUGUUGGGAAAGAAAAGCAGCAGGUUAAUACCCCGCUGUUCUGACGGUACCCAAAGAAUAAGCACCGGCUAACUUCGUG
rnacentral:rRNA from 1 species